rnacentral:tRNA from 1 species
GCGGGUAUCGUAUAGUGGCUAAUAUACGUCCUUGCCAAGGACGAGCGAGGGGUUCGAUUCCCCUUACCCGCA